rnacentral:rRNA from 1 species
UACGUAGGGUGCAAGCGUUGUCCGGAAUUAUUGGGCGUAAAGAGCUCGUAGGCGGUUUGUCGCGUCUGCUGUGAAAACUCGGGGCUUAACCCCGGGCCUGCAGUGGGUACGGGCAGACUAGAGUGCGGUAGGGGAGACUGGAAUUCCUGUGUAGCGGUGAAAUGCGCAGAUAUCAGGAGGAACACCGGUGGCGAAGGCGGGUCUCUGGGCCGUAACUGACGCUGGAGGAGCGAAAGCAUGGGGAGCGAACAGG